rnacentral:rRNA from 1 species
AGGGGGGGGGCCUUAACAAUGCAAGUCGAGCGGAUGAAAGGAGCUUGCUCCUGGAUUCAGCGGCGGACGGGUGAGUAAUGCCUAGGAAUCUGCCUGGUAGUGGGGGACAACGUUUCGAAAGGAACGCUAAUACCGCAUACGUCCUACGGGAGAAAGCAGGGGACCUUCGGGCCUUGCGCUAUCAGAUGAGCCUAGGUCGGAUUAGCUAGUUGGUGAGGUAAUGGCUCACCAAGGCGACGAUCCGUAACUGGUCUGAGAGGAUGAUCAGUCACACUGGAACUGAGACACGGUCCAGACUCCUACGGGAGGCAGCAGUGGGGAAUAUUGGACAAUGGGCGAAAGCCUGAUCCAGCCAUGCCGCGUGUGUGAAGAAGGUCUUCGGAUUGUAAAGCACUUUAAGUUGGGAGGAAGGGCAGUAAAUUAAUACUUUGCUGUUUUGACGUUACCGACAGAAUAAGCACCGGCUAACUCUGUGCCAGCAGCCGCGGUAAUACAGAGGGUGCAAGCGUUAAUCGGAAUUACUGGGCGUAAAGCGCGCGUAGGUGGUUUGUUAAGUUGGAUGUGAAAUCCCCGGGCUCAACCUGGGAACUGCAUCCAAAACUGGCAAGCUAGAGUAUGGUAGAGGGUGGUGGAAUUUCCUGUGUAGCGGUGAAAUGCGUAGAUAUAGGAAGGGAACACCAGUGGCGAAGGCGACCACCUGGGACUGAUACUGACACUGAGUGCGAAAGCGUGGGGAGCAACAGGAUUAGAUACCCUGGUAGUCCACGCCGUAAACGAUGUCACUAGCCGUUGGGAGCCUUGAGCUCUAUUGCGCAGCUACGCAUAAGUGACCGCCCUGGGGGAGUACGGCCGCCAG